rnacentral:tRNA from 1 species
UAUAACUCAGUGGUAGAGUACUUUCGUAAUAUGUGAAAGGUCCUGGGUUCAAUUCCCAGUA